rnacentral:lncRNA from 1 species
AUCCUCAUCCCUCACCGGACAUAAUCGUCUUCAGCUCGGCCAUCUCGGCAGGAGCCAUACAAUAGGGACUUUUGGACAUUGGGGUCGUCCCUUGUUCCAGUUCUGCUAUGAACGGGUCAGUCCUAUCAUAGGAAAUUCCAUGUAGCGCCCGAAUAACGUCCUCGAACUCCCUGACCAGCUGAAUCCCGUCCGGGUUACCACCCC